rnacentral:rRNA from 1 species
GACGAACGCUGGCGGCGUGCUUAACACAUGCAAGUCGAACGGAAAGGCCCUGCUUUUGUGGGGUGCUCGAGUGGCGAACGGGUGAGUAACACGUGAGUAACCUGCCCUUGACUUUGGGAUAACUUCAGGAAACUGGGGCUAAUACCAGAUAGGAGCUCCUGCUGCAUGGUGGGGGUUGGAAAGUUUCGGCGGUUUGGGAUGGACUCGCGGCUUAUCAGCUUGUUGGUGGGGUAGUGGCUUACCAAGGCUUUGACGGGUAGCCGGCCUGAGAGGGUGACCGGCCACAUGGGGACUGAGAUACGCCCCAGACUCCAACGGGAGGCAGUGGGGGGAAAUAUGGCACAGUGGGCGGAAGCCGGAGGCAGAAACGCCGCGGGCGGGAUGACGGCCUUCGGGUUGUAAACCGCUUUCGCCUGUGACGAAGCGGGAGUGACGGUAAUGGGUAAAGAAGCACCGGCUAACUACGUG